AUUGAACGCUGGCGGCAGGCCUAACACAUGCAAGUCGAGCGGAUGAGUGGAGCUUGCUCCAUGAUUCAGCGGCGGACGGGUGAGUAAUGCCUAGGAAUCUGCCUGGUAGUGGGGGACAACGUUUCGAAAGGAACGCUAAUACCGCAUACGUCCUACGGGAGAAAGUGGGGGAUCUUCGGACCUCACGCUAUCAGAUGAGCCUAGGUCGGAUUAGCUAGUUGGUGAGGUAAAGGCUCACCAAGGCGACGAUCCGUAACUGGUCUGAGAGGAUGAUCAGUCACACUGGAACUGAGACACGGUCCAGACUCCUACGGGAGGCAGCAGUGGGGAAUAUUGGACAAUGGGCGAAAGCCUGAUCCAGCCAUGCCGCGUGUGUGAAGAAGGUCUUCGGAUUGUAAAGCACUUUAAGUUGGGAGGGAGGGCAGUAAGUUAAUACCUUGCUGUUUUGACGUUACCAACAGAAUAAGCACCGGCUAACUUCGUGCCAGCCGCCGCUGUAAAAC
rnacentral:rRNA from 1 species